rnacentral:rRNA from 1 species
GACGAACGCUGGCGGCGCGCCUAACACAUGCAAGUCGAACGAGCGAGAGAGAGCUUGCUUUCUCAAGCGAGUGGCGAACGGGUGAGUAACGCGUGAGGAACCUGCCUCAAAGAGGGGGACAACAGUUGGAAACGACUGCUAAUACCGCAUAAGCCCACAGCUCGGCAUCGAGCAGAGGGAAAAGGAGCAAUUCGCUUCAGGAUGGCCUCGCGUCCAAUUAGGUAGAUGGUGAGGUAACGGCCCACCAUGCCGACGAUUGGUAGCCGGACUGAGAGGUUGAACGGCCACAUUGGGACUGAGACACGGCCCAGACUCCUACGGGAGGCAGCAGUGGGGAAUAUUGCACAAUGGGGGAAACCCUGAUGCAGCGACGCCGCGUGGAGGAAGAAGGUUUUCGGAUUGUAAACUCCUGUCUUCGGGGACGAUAAUGACGGUACCCGAGGAGGAAGCCACGGCUAACUACGUGCCAGCAGCCGCGGUAAAACGUAGGUGGCAAGCGUUGUCCGGAAUUACUGGGUGUAAAGGGAGCGCAGGCGGGUCGGCAAGUUGGAGGUGAAAGCUGUGGGCUCAACUCACAAACUGCCUUCAAAACUGCCGGUCUUGAGUGGUGUAGAGGUAGGCGGAAUUCCCGGUGUAGCGGUGGAAUGCGUAGAUAUCGGGAGGAACACCAGUGGCGAAGGCGGCCUACUGGGCACUAACUGACGCUGAGGCUCGAAAGCAUGGGUAGCAAACAGG